rnacentral:rRNA from 1 species
AGUGAACGCUGGCGGUAGGCCUAACACAUGCAAGUCGAACGGCAGCACAGUAAGAGCUUGCUCUUACGGGUGGCGAGUGGCGGACGGGUGAGGAAUACAUCGGAAUCUACUUUUUCGUGGGGGACAUCGUAGGGAAACUUACGCUAAUACCGCAUACGACCUACGGGUGAAAUCAGGGGAUCUUCGGACCUUGCGCGAUUGAUUGAGCCGAUGUCGGAUUAGCUAGUUGGCGGGGUAAAGGCCCACCAAGGCGACGAUCCGUAGCUGGUCUGAGAGGAUGAUCAGCCACACUGGAACUGAGACACGGUCCAGACUCCUACGGGAGGCAGCAGUGGGGAAUAUUGGACAAUGGGCGCAAGCCUGAUCCAGCCAUACCGCGUGGGUGAAGAAGGCCUUCGGGUUGUAAAGCCCUUUUGUUGGGAAAGAAAAGCAGCAGGUUAAUACCCCGCUGUUCUGACGGUACCCAAAGAAUAAGCACCGGCUAACUUCGUG